rnacentral:tRNA from 1 species
GAGUCUCGCGAACAGUUCGACGUGGGUGUCGGCCACCCGGCGUGGCACACCGAGCUUCGCGGCGAUGAUCUCC